GACGAACGCUGGCGGCAUGCCUAACACAUGCAAGUCGAGCGAGUAGAUCCCUUCGGGGUGAAGCUAGCGGCGGACGGGUGAGUAACACGUGGGCAACCUGCCUCAUAGAGGGGAAUAGCCUUCCGAAAGGAAGAUUAAUACCGCAUAAGAUUGUAGUACCGCAUGGUAUAGCAAUUAAAGGAGCAAUCCGCUAUGAGAUGGGCCCGCGGCGCAUAGCUAGUUGGUGAGGUAACGGCUUACCAAGGCGACGAUGCGUAGCCGACCUGAGAGGGUGAUCGGCCACAUUGGGACUGAGACACGGCCCAGACUCCUACGGGAGGCAGCAGUGGGGAAUAUUGCACAAUGGGGGAAACCCUGAUGCAGCAAUGCCGCGUGAGUGAUGACGGCCUUCGGGUUGUAAAGCUCUGUCUUCGGGGACGAUAAUGACGGUACCCGAGGAGGAAGCCACGGCUAACUACGUGCCAGCCGCCGCUGUAA
rnacentral:rRNA from 1 species